rnacentral:rRNA from 1 species
AGUAACGAAUCUUCCGCAAUGGGCGAAAGCCUGACGGAGCAAUGCCGCGUGUGGGAUCAAGCAUCUACGAUGUGUAAACCACUGUCAGAAUCUAGAAAUACUGAUCAGAUUCAGAGGAAGGGCCGGCUAAUUCAGUGCCAGCAGCCGCGGUAAUACUGAAGGCCCGAGCGUUAUUCGGAAUCACUGGGCUUAAAGCGUACGCAGGCGGAUUUGUAGGUAUCUUGUGAAAUCCCACGGCUCAACCGUGGAACUGCAGGGUAAACCACAAAUCUUGAGACAAGUAGGGGUUAGUGGAACGAUAUGUGGAGCGGUGAAAUGCGUAGAUAUAUAUCGGAACGCCAAUGGCGAAGGCAGCUAACUGGGCUUGUUCUGACGCUCAGGUACGAAAGCGUGGGUAGCGAACGGGAUUAGAUACCCCGGUAGUCCACGCCGUAAACGAUGCACACUAGGUCGCGGUACCUCUCAUGGUUUCGCGGCCGAAGGAAAACUGGUAAGUGUGCCGCCUGGGGAGUACGGUCGCAAGGCUAAAACUCAAAGGAAUUGACGGGGGCUCACACAAGCGGUGGAGCAUGUUGCUUAAUUCGAGGCAACGCGAAGAACCUUACCUAGGCUUGACAUGUAUGGAUUAGCAUUAUGAAAGUUUUGUAACGCCCUUGGGUGGAACAUACACAGGUGCUGCAUGGCUGUCGUCAGCUCGUGCUGUGAAGUGUCGGGUUAAGUCCCUUAACGAGCGCAACCCCUAUCGUUAGUUACUAACGCGUUAUGGCGAGGACUCUAGCGAGACUGCCGGUGUCAAACCGGAGGAAGGUGGGGAUGACGUCAAGUCAGCAUGGCCCUUAUGCCUAGGGAUGCAAACGUGCUACAAUGGUACGGACAAAGCGAUGCGAUACCGCGAGGUGGAGCAAAUCGCAAAAACCGUGCCCCAGUUCGGAUAGCAGGCUGAAAUUCGCCUGCUUGAAGCCGGAAUCGCUAGUAAUCGCGUAUCAGCUACGACGCGGUGAAUACGUUCCUGAGCCUUGUACACACCGCCCGUCAAGUCAUGGAAGCUGUUAGUGCCCGAAGUCACCUCGUUUCAGGGGUGCCUACGGCAAGAAUGGUGACUGGGACU